AUUGAACGCUGGCGGAAUGCUUUACACAUGCAAGUCGAACGGCAGCACGGGGCAACCUGGUGGCGAGUGGCGAACGGGUGAGUAAUACAUCGGAACGUGCCCAAUCGUGGGGGAUAACGUAGCGAAAGUUACGCUAAUACCGCAUACGAUCUACGGAUGAAAGCGGGGGAUCGCAAGACCUCGCGCGAGUGGAGCGGCCGAUGUCAGAUUAGGUAGUUGGUGGGGUAAAGGCUCACCAAGCCAACGAUCUGUAGCUGGUCUGAGAGGACGACCAGCCACACUGGAACUGAGACACGGUCCAGACUCCUACGGGAGGCAGCGGUGGGGAAUUUGGACAAUGGGCGCAAGCCUGAUCCAGCCAUUCCGCGUGCAGGAUGAAGGCCUUCGGGUUGUAAACUGCUUUUGUACGGUAACGAAACGGCUACUCUCUAAUACAGGGGGCGUAAUGACGGUACCGUAAGAAUAAGCACCGGCUAACUACGUGCCAGCCGCCGCGGUAACACCCACGACG
rnacentral:rRNA from 1 species